rnacentral:rRNA from 1 species
GACGAACGCUGGCGGCGUGCUUAACACAUGCAAGUCGAACGGGAAGGCCCUGCUUUUGUGGGGUGCUCGAGUGGCGAACGGGUGAGUAACACGUGAGUAACCUGCCCUUGACUUUGGGGUAACUUCAGGAAACUGGGGCUAAUACCGGAUAGGAGCUCCUGCUGCAUGGUGGGGGGUGGAAAGUUUCGGCGGGUGGGGAUGGACUCGCGGCUUAUCAGCUUGUUGGUGGGGUAGUGGCUUACCAAGGCUUUGACGGGUAGCCGGCCUGAGAGGGUGACCGGCCACAUUGGGACUGAGAUACGGCCCAGACUCCUACGGGAGGCAGCAGUGGGGAAUAUUGCACAAUGGGCGGAAGCCUGAUGCAGCAACGCCGCGUGCGGGAUGACGGCCUUCGGGUUGUAAACCGCUUUCGCCUGUGACGAAGCGUGAGUGACGGUAAUGGGUAAAGAAGCACCGGCUAACUACGUG